AUGCGUGGUGGUCAAAGUUGCAGAUCAUGUUGUCAAAAGAGAUCAUAUAUAUGCAGGCAACAGGAUCAUAUUUCAUUUGUAUGCAAGCAACAGGAUCAUAUUUCGUUUGUAUGCAAGCAACAGGAGAAAAUUCAGCAUAUAGCACAUCAUAUACAAGCGUGCAUGCAUCAUAGAAAUAUAUGCUCUUCUGAGACAACAAAUCUUGGCAUUGCCCUGAAAUUGCAGUUACUUGUGAAAAAUCUAUAUGCAGCAUACAUUAUACAUCACUUGCAAAUUACAUAUACAGAUUAUCAAUAUGGAUAG
rnacentral:rRNA from 1 species